rnacentral:miRNA from 1 species
UGAGAAAGUCAAUACGUCGUC